GGCCGCUUGGUGUAGUUGGUUAUCACGUGUGCUUCACACUGCUGAUCAAUGCUUAUAGCAUGAUUACGUACGCACAAGGUCCGGAGUUCGAAACUCUGAGUGGUCA